CACGUAGGGCGCAAGCGUUGUCCGGAAUUAUUGGGCGUAAAGAGCUCGUAGGCGGUCUGUUGCGUCCGCUGUGAAAACUCGGGGCUUAACCCCGAGCCUGCAGUGGAUACGGGCAGACUAGAGGUAGGUAGGGGAGAAUGGAAUUCCCGGUGUAGCGGUGAAAUGCGCAGAUAUCGGGAGGAACACCGGUGGCGAAGGCGGUUCUCUGGGCCUUUAC
rnacentral:rRNA from 1 species